UGGUGUCAGCACCGUUCAGGGUGUGUGACUGGUUGACCAGAGGGGCAAGCACUCCGUUCACCCUCUGGGCUGCCUCGUCACCAACCCUCAGCACCAACCGCACCUGCC
ensembl:miRNA MIR134 microRNA mir-134